UACGUAGGGGGCAAGCGUUGUCCGGAAUUAUUGGGCGUAAAGAGCGUGUAGGCGGCCAGGUAGGUCUGCUGUGAAAACUCGAGGCUCAACCUCGAGCUGUCGGUGGAAACCAUCUGGCUAGAGUCCGGAAGAGGAGAAUGGAAUUCCUGGUGUAGCGGUGAAAUGCGCAGAUAUCAGGAAGAACACCGAUGGCGAAGGCAGGUCUCUGGGCUGUUACUGACGCUGAGGAGCGAAAGCAUGGGGAGCGAACAGG
rnacentral:rRNA from 1 species